AAAGAAAGAAAGUGGUUUUCCCUGGGUAAGGCUUGUCCAUUGCACUCCAACUAUGCUGUCCCCUGCUUUUGCCCAAAAUGUGGGAAAGAACUGCAUAAUUUGUGGAAAUGGAAAAUUGCAUUCAUUUUCUU
rnacentral:snRNA from 1 species